AGUCUGCCUGAAUACCACAGUCCUGGAGGCAGAGAAGAGGCCAAUACCCUCGGUAAUAGAAAGCUUCCCUGGGUGACUGAGCCAAUUGUACCUGUACACCCAGUGCCUAUCAAGGGUGAGUGAUUGCGUAGUGAUAAUAUAUACUUACCAGCAAGCGCUCCACUCACUUACUGAUGUUGGAAUCGUUAUCAGGUCACACAGUAUAAGAUAUUUUUUGCACAGUUCUGGUGUGGUGUAAAGAAUGAACCAAUCCAAGUGUUGUAGCAGCUUAUUCUAUGCAUCUUUCUAUUAUUCAUUAUUUGUUCGUAAAAGCCUCUUUUAUCACAGAUAGGUUCUAUAACAUGGGCAUACUGUAAUGAAUAACCCUGUGAAUAUUCAAAUUCACUCAAAAAAGCCAAGUUGUG